AUGAAAUUGUAUGAAUAAUGCGAUGGUUGUCUAAGGCAAGGUGAAUCGUUGAUAUGGCACGGCCACGAUUUCACGCAUCGGCUGAAAUUUCAGUAAUCUAUUAUAUAAUUGGUUUACACAAAAGUUACUUAAUUAUGUUAUGUAUAUAGUUUAUUUUAUUGCAACGAUAACCACCUCUAGUGUUGUGACAAAUUUCAUCUGCUCCUCUACAGACAGGUCCUGCCUGACACUCGUCGAUAUCUUGGAAAAGGAAAGUCAAGGACAGACGAAACAACUUGAGAUUCAACUAAUGGCCCACAUUUUCGAUGACUAGGUCAAGUACAGAUUAUAAGUACAUAACAACGAGAUAAUGGAGGUAGAACACGCUUUAAUAAACGACCUCAAGAGUUCUCAUCGAGCAUACAAUACGUUUUACUCGUCGAACCUUUAACAGCACAUCUGUAAUUACCCCAGACGUUGAAACACAUAUGUUGACACAAACCAGGGGUCCUUUGGCACUCGUCAAUAUCCUAAAAUUUUUAGAGAUUUUAUCAUCUUAUUAACAAUAAUUAAUAAUAAA